rnacentral:lncRNA from 1 species
CGGAAGUCCCGCCUGCCAGUCCACAGCGCGCUGGCGCGCUGGCGGGCGUCCACCUCCGCGGCGUUCGCCGCCUGGCCUUUUCUGCACCCUCGAAAAAGUUUCCAGUAAAAAGAUGGUUGCAGCGGGACCGUGCCUAGAAAGAGCGUGAAGGCAAGCCGAUAGAGGCCGUGCAGGCAUUUCGUUUCCGCCUUCACCCUACCUUCGGGUCCCCUUCUGCUCCUCCUUGGCCUCUCGAUUACUCUCUGGACUGCCCUUUACCCACCCCACCGACGGGUCCCUAGAGGUGUCCUUUGUCCUAAGCGCGCAUAGCACUUAUCUUGCGUCUUUGCCGACUUCUAUUCUAGAGGUUGUGUUCUUGUUAUGACAUUUUAUGACACUAGAGAGUUCCUCCUAUUGUGAGGAUUCCCCGCCCCCAGUACGCCUCCCCCACCUCCACCCCGUUCUUUGGGAAUAUAUCCUGUUGCAAAACCCUACCCGCUGACGGCAUUCCCACAAAGGACCAUCUCUCUCAGCCCCACUCCCUCCCUUACUGAAAACCUUCUCUCUCAAUCUUUUUUUUUGGGGGGGGGGGCGGGGUGCUAGGGAUUAACCCAGGGCCCUAUGUUUGCGAGGCAAGCACUCUACCUACUGAGUUAUAGCCUGAAAGCCUUCUCUUACUUGACAACCGUUGACAAAAGAAUGUUUUAGGAGUAAGGGACCUGACCUAAGACCUUUACAUGCACAUUAUUUAAUCAACGAUCCUAAUGAGAAAGUUGAGGCACAGAAAAAGUCAAUAAUUUGCCCAAGGUAUCAUAGCUUAGAUGUAGUAGAGUUGAAAAGUUGACUCCAUUACUACUCCUUUCUCUUUCCCAAAUACUGUUGAUCUCCCUGCCUGUCUCUUUUAUUUGCUUCUCCUGAGGAAUUGUUUCUGAAUGCUGUCUAGACUCAACAUUUAUAGAUACCUGGCUUCUGCCUAAGAACCCCCUGCCCACAACUCUCUCUUCACACAGGCCCUCAAGUGUUCCUUUUUAUCGGAUAUCUAAACUCUAAAUUUAGUAAUAUUUUGCAUCUCCUCGCGUAUGAAGUGUUAAGGAUAGGUUAGAUCACUAAAAUAUUGUAAAUCUAAGUUCAGCCAAAGGAGUGAUCAUUCUUCACUGAUGUGGAAACAGUUGGGAAGCAUAGUGGAUUGAUAGACAAAGAUUUAGUUUGAAAAAUUUGUUGCACAUGUUCUUAUUUUGAACAUCUAAUAAAGAUAGACUUUGGAAAUAAAAUUUACAUUCAUAUAACAUUUUGUACUCAAUUUUAGGAGAUUCACGAAUCUUCCCCAAAAUGUUUUUAAAACCCCAAGUUUAGGGAAAUAGAAUACUUCAAAAGACAGAACUAAGUAAGCCAGAUGUGGAAGACCUUUAUCCUGUAGGCAGUGCAAAACCAUUGGAGAUACAAAAAGGUGAACCCAGCACUAGUAUGAAGGGUUCAUUAAAAUAAGAGGCAGUGAGAUUAGUUAGGUGGCAGGUGGCAUAGUUUAGGUAGGAUAUUGUGCCACGGAGCAUUGGGAAUGAGGGUAAAUUAACAAGAAAUAAUGGCAAGGGCAAAUCAAAAGAACUUGGUAUCUGACUGGAUAUGGAACUGAAAGAGAAAGAAAUCAAUAACAAGGUUUGAGGCACAGUUAUGUCCUCCCUCUAUUUUUGUCUUCAGGUUUUUUGUUUGUUUGUUUGUUUGUUUUUUGUACUAGGUCAUUUCUAAAGAGGGGGCAUUACUACUGACCCAGUAGACAUUAAAAAGGGCAAGAGAAUACUAUAAACAACUCUGUACUCAUAAAUUUGAUAACUUGGGUGAGAUGGACCCUGUCAAAACUUCCAAAAUUUACCCAAGAACAAAAAGAUAUAAUGAAUAGUCUUUUGAUUAUUUAAGAAAUAGAACUGUGUUUAAAAGCAAAGGAAAAAAAAAAAAAAAGGAAAAAUUUCAGGCCCAAAUGGUUUUACCAGCUAAUUUAACCCAACAUUUAAGGACAAAAUAUUACCAGUUCUAUACAAGCUCUUCCAGAAUUUAGGACAGGAAGAAGGACUUCUCAAUUCAUAUUAUAAAGCCAGUAUAUCCUGACACCAAAACCAGAUAAAGAUAACACAAAAAAUAAAAGUAUAAAUCAAACUUCUGAUUGAACAGACUCAAAAUUCUCAAAAAUAAGACCAAAUGGAUAAAAAAAAAUUAAAAAUAAUACACUAGGGCUGGGGUUGUACUCAGUAAUAGAGUACUUGCCUAGCAUGUGUGAAGCACUGGAUUCGAUCCUCAGCGCCACAUAAUACUAAAUAAAUAAAGUAAAAAUAUUUUAAAAAAUACAUUUCAACCAAGUGUCACUUAUCCCAGGAAUUCAGGGCUGGAACAAUACUUGAAAAUCAUUUGGCAUAAUCCACUAUAUUAACAGACUGAACCAAAACUACAAGAUUCCAGCAAUAGAUGCAGAAAGAGCACUUGACAAAAUUCAAUAUAUGUUCUAAAACUUUGCAAACUAAUUAGGAAUCUGAUAGACUAAUAAAAGCCAACCACAAAGCCUAUAAUUAACAUAUUUAAUGGUGAAAAACUGGAUACUCUCCACUCCCCAAAAUUGGGAGUGGGCAAGGAUGUUUAUUUUCACUACAUCUAUUCAAUAUCUUACUGAAGGUCUUAGCAAAGCAAGAAGAGGGGAGAAAGGGCAUUCUGAAUGGAAAAUUAAAAAAACAAGAUUAUCCAUGUUUUCAGAUAAUAAUUGUCUAUAUAAGUAAAUCUAUAAGCAUGCUCUUUAAACUAAUAAGUGAAUUUAGCAGAUUGCAGAAUAUAAGGUAAAACAAAUGAGUCUAUCAUAUUGUUAUACUAGCAAUGAGCAGUUGAACACUGGCCCACUCUCCUCACCCACAAAUGAAAUACUUAGGUAAAAACCUGCUAAUAUAUACUCAGGACUCAUACAUUUUAAAAUGCAAAACACUAAUAAAAAAAAAAAAAAGAAGACCCAUUCUGGGUUCAUAGACUGGAAAAUUAAAUGUAAGUAAAUGUCAGUGUUCUCUAAAUUGACCUGUGCAUUUAAAGCAAUGACAAGUAAAUUCCCAGCAAGAUUUUUGUAGGUAUAGAUUUGUUGAAUAUAAAGUUUAUAAGUAAAGGGAAAGGAAGUAGAUUAACAAAACAAUUCUUGAAAAAAAAAUCAAGGGCCUGAAUCAUAGUCAGGAAUCUAUGCAUGUUUUAAGCACAUAGUGCCAUGAACAUAUUUCUGUAUAUUAGUUCAUAUGACUUGAUUUUAAAACCAUAAAGCUCUUGGGGAAAAAAAAAAAAACCAGGAGAAAAUCUUCAUGACUGAGUCAGGCAAAAACCUCCUAGAUACAACACUAAAAUUACUAUCAAUAAGGAAAAAUAUCAAUAAAUUGAAGUUCAUCAAAAUUAAAAUCUUUUGCUAUAUAAAGGAAAGAAAAUGAAAGACAAGUCAUACUGGGAAAAUAUUUGCAAAUCACAUAAUUGACAAAGGACUUAUAUCCAAAAUAUAUAAUUUUCAAAAUCUAAUAAAAAAAUUUAAAAUGGGCAAAAGUUUAUAGACACUCCACUACAGAUGACAAAAAUAUAGUAAAUAAGAACAGGAAAAGAUGUUCAAUAUUAUUAGUCAUUAGGGAAAUUAAAACCAUGAGAUAAUAUUAGACACAGAAUGGAUUAAAAAAUAAGUCUGACAAGGAUAUUGAGCAACUAAAACAUUCACACUGUAAUGCAGCUUUUCAAGAAUAAUUAUGAGGUUGUGGCUCAAUGGUAGAGCCCUUGCCUAACACAUGUGAGGCACUGGAUUUGAUCCCCCGCACCACAUAAAAAUAAAUAAAGGUUAAAAAAAUCACUUUAAAAAAGCAAUCUCAGAUGUUUACUUACUCAUGAUUCCAUUUGAACAUACUAGAAAGGUAAAAAUAAAGGGACAAUGAUCAAUGGUUGCUAAUAGUGAAAGGCAGGGAAAACUUUUGAGUGUGUGUAGGGGUGGCAUGAGGAAAUUCUUGGGAUAUUAAAAUUGUUCUGUAUCCUGUUAGUGGUAGUUACAAGAAUUAAGUAUACUGCAUACAAAAGAUUUUAUUAUAUAAAUUUUUAAGUUUUAAACUUAAGUAAAAAAAAAAAGCAAUAUGUAGUCUGGAGUCUUAUUUUUUUUAAACACUUCCCCUUUAACUCAAUAAUCCCUCUAAUCACUAGAGCAUUUUUCCUGCUCUAAUGGAAAAAAUAUACUUUAUUGUCUCUCUUUCCUGGCUUCUCAAUUCACUUUAAAAAUAAACAUUUUAUUUAAAAACAUUCAGCAACAUAAUGCAUGCACAUAAUUAAAAGAUUGAAUAGUACAGAAAAGAUUUUAAUGAAAAAUAGCAGUCCCCAUCCUACCUGUUCUCUCUUCAUUCCAGAUACAGUUUCCCAAAGGCAAAUACUUUAAACACUUUUUAUAUUUAAUUUUUUGAUUAUUAUUGCCAUAUCUCUCAAUAAUAUUUGCAGACUGUCCUUUCUUAAUCAGUAUGUAUUAUUUAUGUAUUAUCCUUUGAUUUUCUACUGUAAUAGAUGAAGACUUAUCUCAUUUUUAGUAUCCCCCAUUUCCUCUAGCCAUCUUUCCCACAGAUUUGGAAGUUUUAAAAUGUUUUUAUUUCCUUCAUUAUUUAUCCUUGUAACCUUAAACAAUAUAUUUAAGCAUAAGUUUUUUUGUUCCAACAAGUUGUACAAUUAUCUCUUGGCUUUAUAGACUAAUUUUAGUAUUAAUAUGCUUUCUUCCAUAUUUUUUCCCAAUUUUCAUGUUUUGACUACUGUACCUUUAUAGUGGAACAUUAAAAUCUAUGAUUAAAACUUCAAUGUUUUCUCCUAUAAACUGAAUUUUAAAAAUUAAAAAAACAAAUGAAAAUAAGUUUUUUUCAUCUCUUUUUCUGUACUUGAGAUCAAUUCAGGGCUUUGCUCAUGCAAAGAAAGUGCUUUACCACUGAACUACAUUCUGAAAAGAACAUGUAUUUUACCAUGACAUUGUAAAUAUUUUUAACUUAAGGUGGUAGUAAUAUGCUUAGAUGAUGUUUCCCUUAACAACCCUAAGGUCAUGUUGCUAGGAAAUCGUUGCUAACAUUAAUUCUUGAGAACAUUUUUUUUUCAGUUGUAGAUGGACAACAAUACCUUUAUUUUAUUUAGUUUUUAUUUUUAUGUGGUGCUGGGGAUGGAACCCAGUGCCUCACACAUGCUAGGCAAACACUCUCUCACUGAGCCACAACCCCAGCCCCUUGAGAACAUUUUUGUUAGAACUCACCGACAUUUUGUUCUAAAGCUGACCAAUUAUUUUUUAGUCUUUUGAAUCACUUCCCCUGAGAUUUCUUUUUCCUUUGAACUUCUGGAGUUUACCAUGUUUUUUGUUUACCCCUGACCUUCUCCUUUCCUUGUUUUUACAUUUUCAUUUGCUGGAGUGUACAACUUUCCAUAUCUUUUUAUUAUUUGAUUUUGCCUAUUUCUUGAUAGAUCAGUUGGAUUUAGAAUUCUGGGUUUAAAAUUGUUUCCCCCCAAAACUGUGAAGGUAUUUUUACAAUAGGUCCUAGGUUCAGUGUUGCUGAUGAAAAGACUGAUGCUAGUCUGAAUGUUUUUUCUUUGUGAUCAUUUUUCUUCUGGAAGCAUUCUUUAUAAAGAUUUUUGUUUUGUUUUCGUUGGUCUACUUUAAUGAUCAGUGAGUUCUUUCAGUUUGAAGACUUCUUUCUCUGUUCAGCUCUGGGAAAUUUUUCAAUAUUUAGUUGAUAUUCUCUCUGCCAUUCUCUUUUUUUUUUUUUUAAUAUUUAUUUAUUUAUUUUUCGGUGAACACAACAUCUUUGUUUGUAUGUGGUGCUGAGGAUCGAACCCGGGCUGCACGCAUGCCAGGCAAGCGCGCUACCACUUGAGCCACAUCCCCAGCCCCUCUCUUCUUUCUUUCUGAAAUUUCAGUUCAUAUAUUGGACCUCUUGAUUUGUUCUCUUAACUGUUGUCUUUUCUCUAAUUUUUCUAAGCUCUUUUUCUUUUGUACCCUGUCUUAAUUGUUUUUUAUUUCUGAAAAAUAUUUUUAGUUUCUAAAAAUAAUGUCUUUAUUUUCUGAAAUUGUUUUUUUUUUUUUUUAGCAUUCUAUUUUUUUCGUUUGUUUUAUGGGCGCAAUAUCUUUUCAACCUCUCUGAAGAAACAGGUUAUAUAUAUAUUUGAAGUUGUCUUCUGUUUUAUCAAGGUUGUUUUUCUGUUUAUCUUGGAUUGUAUAUGCUGUCAGUUUUCUUCAAAUAGCUGACUGAUAUUCUUUGAUUGCCCAUUCAAAUUAAAGAACAGAGAAUAAGAAAGAUGAUUUAUAAUUUUUGAGCACAGAGAGAUCUUGUUAACUGUCAUGAUUUCACUCUAGAGGCUCUGUGACUUUACUAGCCUUAUGUGGGUAGGUUACUCAGCCACUCUGCGUCAUUUCAAAAAUGGAAUGAUAUGUUGUUUAUUGUUUUGGGGUAAAUGAAGAUUUCCUAUACCAUCCUUAGAACAUUGCCUGGCAUACUGCAAAUAUAUAUUUAAUAUUAUUAAGGCAAGGUGGCAGUAACUGGCUAUUUUAUUAAAGGUCCAACACCAAACAAGAUAUCAAAACUUACCCUUAGUGCCCCAGAAUUCCCCACUUUCAAUCAGAUUUCCUUCAACAGUUUUUUUGAAUUUUUGCCUGGGAGUAAUCACUGGGCUGUAUGUUAAACAGAUCUUCCCACCCAUCCUUCAUGGUCUCCCUUGAUCAAUUAGAACCUCUUCUAGGUUCUGCUAGGUGGAGACACUCCCAGGGUAAUGCCCCAAGUAUCCCAGUAUCCCACUCAGUUUCUUAUGUCAACAUUCAUUUACUUUCUAUUUUCAGACAUUUGUUAAAUGACAUUUCCUGCUUGAAUCCUUUUAUUUAUCCUAUUGUGCAUUUCUUAAUUUUUAUUCCUCAAUUAUUGUUUUAAUAUGAAUUUUAGGAAGGAAAUCCAGUGUCUUGGAUGAGCAACCCCAUUUAUUCUUUGUAUGUUUUGAAGGGGGAGAUUUAUUUAAUACUUUAAAAUUUUUGUCAGCCGGGUGCAGUGGCACAUGCAAAAAAAUUGUCAAAUUAAUAUUUACAGUAUUUAAUCAUAAUUAAAACACCCCAAAAUGUACCAAAAUCUCCAUGGGCAGUUCCCUUCAAUUCUUUUAGUUCUUUCUGAUGGUGUACUUGUAUAUUUUAAGUAAUAUGUUUAUAUUUAUGGUUCCUAAUUCAGAUAUUAUCUACUUCAGACAUCUUUUCACUUUAGUUAUGAAAGAUGAAGAUUUAGCACUCCAUUAUAUGGUUUCUUUUGUGAUAUCAUUCAGUCUUGUGGUUUUCAAUACUCUGCUAAAUAAAACCAAAUUUAUACUUUCAGGUUCUUUUCUCCAUCAAAUAAUCUUUGCUAACAUGAGAUAUAUAUUUACUUGAAGAGUUUGUUAGCAUCUACUAAAUUUCUAUUUAGGUAUGAUUUUUAAAAAAUCUAUUCUAUGUUUUCUUAGAAUAUAUUCCAAACCUAUUCCUCUUUAUUGUUUUCAUAGAUCUGUUAAUGGUCAUAUUUUCUGUCCGAAGUGCUCAUGCCAAAAACUUAGAAGUCACCCUUUUUCUCCUUUCCCUCAGUUUUUAUAUACAAUCCCUGAUUACUCUGAUGCUUACAUUUAUCCUGCUACUCUAGUCUAGUGGCUCCUGAUGGGAUUGUUGUUCUUAACGGUGGUUGCCCUCUGAGGGAAAAUGAUAAGUGUCUGGAGCCAUUUGAGGUUGUCAAAUUUAAAGGGUGCUCCUGACAUGUAGUGAAUAGAGGGAUCUUUACCCACAUGUGGAUAUAUGCUAAAAGCCCUUCAAAAUAUAGAAUAAAUGGUUUAUUUGAGAAUAAAGCUCAAAAAUAUUAAUAUUGCUGAGGUUGAUUCCACUUAACAUGUUCUUUCUCAAGAAACAUCAUUUUGCUUCUAAAAUUCUCUAAUACCUUGUCAAUAUCUUAAUUUUGUAGACAUGGCAGACAGAUUUCACAGAUAUGGAUCAUAAGUUCACACAAAGAAGUCCUGAAGAUGCUGGGGCUGGACAGUGUGAAAGUAGGAGUUUGUACUUGCUUUAAGAUCUUUUGAGUGAUUUUGAAUACUUUUUAUAAAUUAUUUGUUUUUCAUUUGUUCUUUAUGUUUGAAAAAAUAAUUACAUUCCAUUUUAUCUCCCUAAGGUAAACACAAACAAAAGAAAGAAAAAAAGCAAAACCCAAAACACCAUGAAUCUCAGUAUAAAUCAGUGAAAUAUGAUUCUUCAGAUAAUGAAUUAUUUCCUCGUGCAUCAUCUUCCUCAGGAUGCCAUACGGAUUCAAGCAAUGAAGGUUGUUUACCACCCUGUUAAGGUUUUUGCAUAUAUAACUUAAGUCAUUUUAAAAAAUUAAUUAAACCUCCUUCAUAAUUUGUUUAUUUGACUAAUAUUUAUUGAGCCUACCUAAUAUGUGCCAGACAUAAUGGUAAAUAUGGCAGGAGGUAAUGGUGCCAUAAUAAUGGUAAAUAUCUCUUCAGUCAAGGAACUUAUUUUAUAUUGGGCAAUACAAAUAAACAAAUAGUCUAUUACUGUAUAGAUGAAUGCACAUGCUAAUCACCAUUGACAUUAGGGAUUUUUAUUCUCUCUCAAGUAAUAUGCUUAUACUUCUAUUCCUUGAUUUAUUAGUAGUCUAAUCAGAAUUUUUUCUUACUAGCGAAAGGAACUAACUGGAUGAUUUAAGUGGAAAAGGAAUUAUAUUGAGUAACUUACAUAAUUGCCAAGAAGCAUAGAGAAUUCAUCUCUGAAUGUGGAUAGGAAUAAGGUGAAAUUUGAUAGCCAGACUAUAGCCAAUUUUAGUUCACAGAGCCUGAUGAGGGCACAGUGCCAUCACUGCCACUGUUGAACCUGGAUGCCUUAUCUUGCAAUGUCAGUGUUACUUGAUGUCACCAGUACCAUCACUGCCACUGCUGCCACAAGACACUGUGUAUUUCUGCCACUAUGACUAGAAUGGAUUCUUCAUUAUUUCUGUCUCAUUAUGUCAUUAACUUCUAGGCAGUGAUAGGCUCAUCCUAGGUCAUAUGCCUAUGUCCUAAGUGCAAAGGAAGCUAGGAAAACAAGCACUGGCAUUUUCAGCAUUGACAGCAGAAAACAUAGGAAGCAGAAUCAGACACUGGGCAAUCAAAAUUAUAACAUAUAUUAUGCAUAUUCAUACUAACUCUAGAUAUGUCAAUUGACUAUCUCACUUGAAAUUAUUCUUUUGUUUUACCUAUCCUUAUUCUCUCGGUGUUUGCUAGUGGUGUUUUGAUUAGUGUUUCUAUGAAUUAAUAAAUAUUAUCCUUAUAACUCUUUAUAUACUCUCUUUUAUACAGGUUAAGUAAUUGGUGUUUAAAUUACUAUCACUAUAUAAAUAUUGUUAC